GACGAACGCUGGCGGCGUGCUUAACACAUGCAAGUGGAGCGACGAACCGGUCUUCGGACCGGGGCAGAGCCGCGAACGGGUGAGUAACACGUGGGUAACCCACCCCGAUGACCGGGACAACCCGAGGAAACUCGGGCUAAUACCGGAUGAGCUCUCAUCUCUUGAGAGAUGUGAGGAAAGAUAGCUUCGGCCUUCGCAUCGGGACGGGCCCGCGGCCCAUUAGCUUGUUGGUGGGGUAACGGCCACCAAGGCGACGAUGGGUAGCUGGUCUGAGAGGACGAUCAGCCACACUGGGACUGAGACACGGCCCAGACUCCUACGGGAGGCAGCAGUGGGGAAUCUUGCACAAUGCGCGAAAGCGUGAUGCAGCAACGCCGCGUGGGGAAGAAGG
rnacentral:rRNA from 1 species